rnacentral:rRNA from 1 species
CAGUAGCCGCGGUAAUACGUAGGUGGCAAGCGUUGUCCGGAAUUAUUGGGCGUAAAGGGCUCGCAGGCGGUUUCUUAAGUCUGAUGUGAAAGCCCCCGGCUCAACCGGGGAGGGUCAUUGGAAACUGGGAAACUUGAGUGCAGAAGAGGAGAGUGGAAUUCCACGUGUAGCGGUGAAAUGCGUAGAGAUGUGGAGGUACACCAGUGGCGAAGGCGACUCUCUGGUCUGUAACUGACGCUGAGGAGCGAAAGCGUGGGGAGCGAACAGGAUUAGAUACCCCUGUAGUCCCUGUCUCUUAUAC